UGAAGUAGACUUGUAAUAAUAAAAGAAUCGAUGGUGUUCAAUAACUUGCGAUCUUCUCAAUUCAAUUCAUGUCUUGAUGAUUAUAGCAUAUUGAGUAGCUGUUAAACUAUGGGUUGCAAAAGCCUUAAUUUCUCUCUCAAUGUCCUCAAAUUGGAGGACUAGCUAGCUAGAGAAGUCAGAUAGGUUUGAAGAUCUGCUUCACAUAUACUGAUAUUGAUGUACGUAUCGUUGAACAACAACAAAAAAUACACAAUGUCUAGUAUCAAUCAAAAGCAGAGACAAGGGGAAAAUGCCAUAUGAGACUAUCAAAGCAAAUGUGCAUUGUUUUCUGGAUAACGAGGAAGAACAGUUGGGUAUCACAGGUAGUUUCAACUUUCAAUAAAUCGAAAAUAGAGAUAAGAUCGAUCCAAUAUCUGCUAGUUUAAUAUCAUCCAAACAAGUACAGAACAUACUAUUUGUUUAUUCUUCUUCUCUUUUUUCUUUCUUUCAUGAUUUCAUAUACUCUUUUCUUAGACAAAGUUUUUCAAUCUAAAAUAAAAGUAGCGAUUGCAGUUUGAACAUUGAAGGGAGCAUUCGUACGUGGCUUGUGAUACGGACCGGAACGUCGCACAGAAGAUUGAAUCUCCCACACAAGAAGAUCUGGAGUUGGGUCGAAGAUCGACCUUAGAAAAGCAGCAGCUUUCUUAAUUUUUUUUCAGUAAAU
rnacentral:lncRNA from 1 species